rnacentral:rRNA from 1 species
UACAGAGGUCCCAAGCGUUGUUCGGAUUCAUUGGGCGUAAAGGGUGCGUAGGUGGCGUCGUAAGUCGGGUGUGAAAUCUCGGGGCUUAACUCCGAAACUGCAUUCGAUACUGCGGUGCUUGAGGACUGGAGAGGAGACUGGAAUUUACGGUGUAGCAGUGAAAAUGCGUAGAGAUCGUAAGGAAGACCAGUGGCGAAGGCGGGUCUCUGGACAGUUCCUGACACUGAGGCACGAAGGCCAGGGGAGCAAACGGG